GCUGAGCUUAGUAACGUGAGCUUGUGACCCAAGUGGGAGCAUUAAGGUGAUGGAACAGGAUUUCAGCUCUCUGGGUCGGGUCUGUGGCUGGUAAUAUGCAGGCUCGCCCUAUCCAAGUUGAGAGUUUGGUCCAUGUGGGUCGGGCGAAGGCCUGAUCUUCAUGGGCCUUAGAGUGGAGGGG
rnacentral:SRP_RNA from 1 species